rnacentral:tRNA from 1 species
ACCUGGCUGGCUCAGUCGGCAGUGCAUAUGGCUCUUGAUCUUGGGGUCAUGAGUUCGAGCCCCAUGUUAGGUG